GCCGAAGUAGCUCAGUUGGUAGAGCACGUCUUUCGUAAAGACGGGGUCACCGGUUCAAUCCCGGUCUUCGGCUCCA
rnacentral:tRNA from 1 species